UGGGGAAUAUUGGACAAUGGGGGGAACCCUGAUCCAGCCAUGCCGCGUGUGUGAAGAAGGCCUUAUGGUUGUAAAGCACUUUAAGCGAGGAGGAGGGUACUGGUAUUAAUACUACCAGCUACUGGACGUUACUCGCAGAAUAAGCACCGGCUAACUCUGUGCCAGCAGCCGCGGUAAUACAGAGGGUGCGAGCGUUAAUCGGAUUUACUGGGCGUAAAGCGUGCGUAGGCGGCUAAUUGAGUCGGAUGUGAAAUCCCCGAGCUUAACUUGGGAAUUGCAUUCGAGACUGGUUAGCUAGAGUGUGGGAGAGGAUGGUAGAAUACCAGGUGUAGCGGUGAAAUGCGUAGAGAUCUGGAGGAAUACCGAUGGCGAAGGCAGCCAUCUGACCUAACACUGACGCUGAGGUACGAAAGCAUGGGGAGCAAACAGG
rnacentral:rRNA from 1 species